rnacentral:rRNA from 1 species
AUUGAACGCUGGCGGCAGGCCUAACACAUGCAAGUCGAACGAGUGGCGGACGGGUGAGUAAUGUCUGGGAAACUGCCUGAGGGAGGGGGAUAACUACUGGAAACGAUAGCUAAUACCGCAUACCAUCAGAUGUGCCCAGUUGGGAUUGGCUAGUUGGUGGGGUAAAGGCUCACCAAGGCGACGAUCCCUACCUGGUCUGAGAGGAUGACCAGCCACACUGGAACUGAGACACGGUCCAGACUCCUACGGGAGGCAGCAGUGGGGAAUAUUGCACAAUGGGCGCAAGCCUGAUGCAGCCAUGCCGCGUGUAUGAAGAAGGCCUUCGGGUUGUAAAGUACUUUAAGUGGGGAGGCGUUACCCGCAGAAGAAGCACCGGCUAACUCCGUGCCAGCAGCCGCGGUAAUAC